GGACGGUCGAUGGUCUGAUUAAUCACAAACCCGCGCGGACUCACAGUCAAGAGACACACACACACACCCACACACACACCUGUGCAAUAUUGAUUACUGAUUAAUGAUCGGCCGUUGUGUGUGAGCGGAGUUUCGCGCUUCAAACCUACAGGACUCUCUUCAUCCAUCACCUCCUCCUCCGGGAUGAAGACUCCUUUUAGUCCUUCUCAGCUCAUGGAGAGGGAGCAGAUCUUUGGCUUUGGAGGGAUGUGUCAAGAGCUGAUGGACCCCCCAACAUCAACAACCAUCAGUCUCUCCGUCCAGCAGACUCCAUCCCCAGGUCAGGGCGGGGCCUUCUCGCUGUGUGAGGUGUGUAACCUGCAGCUUACCACUGACGCUCAGGCCCAACUGCACUACAAUGGCAGGUCUCACCUCCGGAGAGUGAGACAGCUCGAGGCUAGGGAGACAGGAGCAGGGACUCAGUCUAGGUCCCUCCUCCAGGCCACAGGGCUCAGCUCCCAGCCUGCUGGACUAACUCUGACACCAGGCUUCAGUUCAUGCCUAAGCGCUCCAUCAAGCACA
rnacentral:lncRNA from 1 species